rnacentral:rRNA from 1 species
GACGAACGCUGACGGCGUGCUUAACACAUGCAAGUCGAACGGAAAGGCCCUGCUUUUGUGGGGUGCUCGAGUGGCGAACGGGUGAGUAACACGUGAGUAACCUGCCCUUGACUUUGGGAUAACUUCAGGAAACUGGGGCUAAUACCGGCUAGGAGCUCCUGCUGCAUGGUGGGGGUUGGAAAGUUUCGGCGGUUGGGGAUGGACUCGCGGCUUAUCAGCUUGUUGGUGGGGUAGUGGCUUACCAAGGCUUUGACGGGUAGCCGGCCUGAGAGGGGGACCGGCGACAUUGGGACUGAGGGACGGACCAGACGCCUACGGUAGGCAGCAGGGGGGAAUAUUGCACAAUGAGCGGAAGCCUGAUGCAGCAACGCCGCGUGCGGGAUGACGGCCUUCGGGUGGUAAACCGCUUUCGCCUGUGACGAAGCGUGAGUGACGGUAAUGGGUGAAGAAGCACCGGCUAACUACGUG